rnacentral:lncRNA from 1 species
CUUAAGCUAUUAGCAGAGGUGCAACUCUAAUUCCUUAUAGCGUAGCAAGCCCAAGCGCCAUGGUUCGAAGGGAUCUGAGCAGGAUGCUGGCCCACUUGGCCAACAAUCCCCUCCCCAGCACCUGCUAGGAUUCGAACCCAUGACCUUGGCUCUGAUACCAAUUGUAGGAUCGAGCGCUUACCACCAUGCCAAAAGCUUAAGCUAUUAGCAGAGGUGCAACUCUAAUUCCUUAUAGCGUAGCAAGCCCAAGCGCCAUGGUUCGAAGGGAUCUGAGCAGGAU